rnacentral:rRNA from 1 species
GACGAACGCUGGCGGCGUGCCUAAUACAUGCAAGUCGAACGCUUCUUUCCUCCCGAGUGCUUGCACUCAAUUGGAAAGAGGAGUGGCGGACGGGUGAGUAACACGUGGGUAACCUACCCAUCAGAGGGGGAUAACACUUGGAAACAGGUGCUAAUACCGCAUAACAGUUUAUGCCGCAUGGCAUAAGAGUGAAAGGCGCUUUCGGGUGUCGUUGAUGGAUGGACCCGCGGUGCAUUAGCUAGUUGGUGAGGUAACGGCUCACCAAGGCCACGAUGCAUAGCCGACCUGAGAGGGUGAUCGGCCACACUGGGACUGAGACACGGCCCAGACUCCUACGGGAGGCAGCAGUAGGGAAUCUUCGGCAAUGGACGAAAGUCUGACCGAGCAACGCCGCGUGAGUGAAGAAGGUUUUCGGAUCGUAAAACUCUGUUGUUAGAGAAGAACAAGGACGUUAGUAACUGAACGUCCCCUGACGGUAUCUAACCAGAAAGCCACGGCCAACUACGUG